rnacentral:rRNA from 1 species
GAUGAACGCUGGCGGCGUGCCUAAUACAUGCGAGUCGAGCGAACAGACGAGGAGCUUGCUCCUCUGACGUUAGCGGCGGACGGGUGAGUAACACGUGGAUAACCUACCUAUAAGACUGGGAUAACUUCGGGAAACCGGAGCUAAUACCGGAUAAUAUAUUGAACCGCAUGGUUCAAUAGUGAAAGACGGUUUUGCUGUCACUUAUAGAUGGAUCCGCGCCGCAUUAGCUAGUUGGUAAGGUAACGGCUUACCAAGGCAACGAUGCGUAGCCGACCUGUGAGGGUGAGCGGCCACACUGGAACUGAGACACGGUCCAGACUCCUACGGGAGGCAGCAGUGGGGAAUCUUCCGCAAUGGGCGAAAGCCUGACGGAGCAACGCGGCGUGAGUGAUGAAGGUCUUCGGAUCGUGAAACUCUGUUAUUAGGGAAGAACAAAUGUGUAAGUAACUAUGCACGUCUUGACGGUACCUAAUCAGAAAGCCACGGCUAACUACGUG